CGCCUAACACAUGCAAGUCGAACGGAGCUUAGAGAGCUUGCUUUUUAAGCUUAGUGGCGAACGGGUGAGUAACGCGUGAGUAACCUGCCCUAGAGUGGGGGACAACAGUUGGAAACGACUGCUAAUACCGCAUAAGCCCACGGUACCGCAUGGUACUGAGGGAAAAGGAUUUAUUCGCUUUAGGAUGGACUCGCGUCCAAUUAGCUAGUUGGUGAGGUAACGGCCCACCAAGGCGACGAUUGGUAGCCGGACUGAGAGGUUGAACGGCCACAUUGGGACUGAGACACGGCCCAGACUCCUACGGGGGGCAGCAGUGGGGGAUAUUGCACAAUGGGGGAAACCCUGAUGCAGCGACGCCGCGUGGAGGAAGAAGGUUUUCGGAUUGUAAACUCCUGUCGUUAGGGACGAUAAUGACGGUACCUAACAAGAAAGCACCGGCUAACUACGUGCCAGCAGCCGCGGUAAAACGUAGGGUGCAAGCGUUGUCCGGAAUUACUGGGUGUAAAGGGAGCGCAGGCGGGAAGACAAGUUGGAAGUGAAAACCAUGGGCUCAACCCAUGAAUUGCUUUCAAAACUGUUUUUCUUGAGUAGUGCAGAGGUAGAUGGAAUUCCCGGUGUAGCGGUGGAAUGCGUAGAUAUCGGGAGGAACACCAGUGGCGAAGGCGGU
rnacentral:rRNA from 1 species